rnacentral:SRP_RNA from 1 species
GAUGGGCAUGGUGGCACACACCUGUAGUCCAGCUACUUGGGAGGCUAAGGUGGGAGGAUCACUUGAGCCCAGGAGUUCUGGGCUGUAGUACGCUAUGCCAGUUGGGUGUCUACACUAGGUUUGGCAUCAAUAUAGUGACCUCUUGGGAGCAGGGAACCACCAGGUUGGAAACAGAGCAGGUCAGAAUUCCUGUGCUGAUGAGUAGUAGAUUACACCUGUGAUUCCACUGGAGCUAAGGCACUCCAGCCUGAGCAACAUAGUGUGACCCUGUCUCU